CGGAAUUACUGGGCGUAAAGCGUGUGUAGGCGGUGAGUUAAGUCUGUCGUGAAAGCCCCGGGCUCAACCUGGGAAUGGCGAUGGAUACUGGCUCGCUAGAGUGCGGUAGAGGAGAGUGGAAUUCCCGGUGUAGCAGUGAAAUGCGUAGAGAUCGGGAGGAACAUCAGUUGCGAAGGCGGCUCUCUGGACCAGCACUGACGCUGAGACACGAAAGCGUGGGGAGCAAACAGG
rnacentral:rRNA from 1 species